rnacentral:rRNA from 1 species
AAACCUAGCUUGCUAGAAGUGGAUUAGUGGCGCACGGGUGAGUAAUGCAUAGGUUAUGUGCCCCAUAGUCUGGGAUAGCCACUGGAAACGGUGAUUAAUACCGGAUACUCCUUACGAGGGAAAGUUUUUCGCUAUGGGAUCAGCCUAUGUCCUAUCAGCUUGUUGGUGAGGUAAUGGCUCACCAAGGCUAUGACGGGUAUCCGGCCUGAGAGGGUGAACGGACACACUGGAACUGAGACACGGUCCAGACUCCUACGGGAGGCAGCAGUAGGGAAUAUUGCUCAAUGGGCGAAAGCCUGAAGCAGCAACGC